GCCAGACUCCUACGGGAGGCAGCAGUGAGGAAUAUUGGUCAAUGGCCGAAGGGCUGAACCAGCCAAGCCGCGUGAAGGAAUAAGGCCCUACGGGUCGUAAACUUCUUUAGUCAGGGAACAAAGGGUGCCACGCGUGGCGCUGUGAGUGUACCUGAAGAAUAAGCAUCGGCUAACUCCGUGCCAGCAGCCGCGGUAAUACGGAGGAUGCGAGCGUUAUCCGGAUUUAUUGGGUUUAAAGGGUGCGUAGGCGGGCUUUUAAGUCAGCGGUAAAAAUUCGGGGCUCAACCCCGUCCGGCCGUUGAAACUGGGGGCCUUGAGUGGGCGAGAAGAAGGCGGAAUGCGUGGUGUAGCGGUGAAAUGCAUAGAUAUUGCGCAGAACUCCGAUUGCGAAGGCAGCCUACCGGCUCCUGUCUGACGCUGAGGCACGAAAGCGUGGGUAUCGAACAGGAUUAGAUACCCCUGUACAA
rnacentral:rRNA from 1 species